GACGAACGCUGGCGGCGUGCUUAACACAUGCAAGUCGAACGGUGAAAGCGGAGCUUGCUCCGCUGGAUCAGUGGCGAACGGGUGAGUAACACGUGGGCAACCUGCCCCUCACUUCGGGAUAACUCCGGGAAACCGGGGCUAAUACCGGAUAUGACCUCCUUGGGCAUCCUUGGAGGUGGAAAGUUUUUCGGUGAGGGAUGGGCCCGCGGCCUAUCAGCUUGUUGGUGAGGUAGUGGCUCACCAAGGCGACGACGGGUAGCCGGCCUGAGAGGGCGACCGGCCACACGGGGACUGGGACACGGCCCAGACUCCUACGGGAGGCAGCAGUGGGGAAUAUUGCGCAAUGGGCGAAAGCCUGACGCAGCAGCGCCGCGUGCGGGAUGACGGCCUUCGGGUUGUAAACUGCUUUCAGCAGGGAAGAAGCCGCAAGGUGACGGUACCUGCAGAAGAAGCACCGGCUAACUACGUGCCAGCCGCCGCCGUAA
rnacentral:rRNA from 1 species